GACGUAGGGCGCGAGCGUUGUCCGGAUUUAUUGGGCGUAAAGAGCUCGUAGGCGGCUCGUUGCGUCGGCUGUGAAAACCCGCAGCUCAACUGUGGGCUUGCAGCCGAUACGGGCGGGCUGGGAUUCGGUAGGGGAGUCUGGAAUUCCUGGUGUAGCGGUGAAAUGCGCAGAUAUCAGGAGGAACACCGGUGGGCGAAGGCGGGACUCUGGGCCGAAUACUGACGCUGAGGAGCGAAAGCGUGGGGAGCGAACAGG
rnacentral:rRNA from 1 species